rnacentral:rRNA from 1 species
UACGUAGGAUGCAAGCGUUGUCCGGAAUUAUUGGGCGUAAAGAGCGCGCAGGCGGUAUGACAAGUCAGAUGUGAAAGAGGCCGGCUUAACCGGCAAGGGUCAUUUGAAACUGUCAGACUAGAGUGCAGCAGAGGAUAGUGGAAUUCCCGGUGUAGUGGUGAAAUGCGUAGAUAUGCGGAGGAACACCGAUGGCGAAGGCAAUCCCCUGGGCCUGCACUGACGCUCAUGCACGAAAGCGUGGGGAGCAAACAGG